CACCUCCACCACCACUGCUGCUGUUGUACUGGUUCUGCUGUCCAUAGCCCUGAGGGGGAUUAUAGCUUUGCUGCUGUCCAUAGCUUUGCUGCUGUCCACCAUAGCUAGGCUGCUGGCUGUAGCUCCCACUCUGGGGCUGCCCAUAGCUGCUGCUCUGAGAACUGCUACCGUAACUAGGGAAAACAAACAAAAAACACAAUCACAAUCCCAGCAUAGCCCCCAAUUUCCUUUCACUUUUAGUGGAGUCCAUUCUCUG
rnacentral:lncRNA from 10 species